CCACAUUGAAACACCGGUUCCCGUACGGUCACUGAAGUUAAGCAGUGUUAAACCUGGUGAGUACCUUGAUGGGUGACCACUUGGGAAUAUCAAGUGCUGUAA